rnacentral:rRNA from 1 species
CCUACGGGUGGCAGCAGUAGGGAAUUUUCGUCAAUGGGCGCAAGCCUGAUCGAGCAAUGCCGCGUGAACGAGGACGGUCUUCGGAUCGUAAAGUUCUGUUGAAGGGGCAAAAGAGCGUAGAGAGGGAAUGCUUUCUGAUUGAUAUUACCCUUCGAGGAAGUCACGGCUAACUACGUGCCAGCAGCCGCGGUAAUACGUAGGUGGCGAGCGUUAUCCGGAAUGAGUGGGCGUAAAGGGUGCGUAGGCGGCCUGCUAAGUCUGUAGUGAAAGGUACCGGCUCAACCAAUACAGGCUCUGGAAACUAGCGAGCUAGAGAGCAGGAGAGGACAGUGGAACUCCAUGUGUAGCGGUAAAAUGCGUAGAUAUAUGGAAGAACACCAGUGGCGAAGGCGGCCGCCUGGCCUGUUACUGACGCUGAGGCACGAAAGCGUGGGGAGCAAAUAGGAUUAGAUACCCUGGUAGUC